rnacentral:rRNA from 1 species
GGUUAAGCGACUAAGCGUACACGGUGGAUGCCCUGGCAGUCAGAGACGAUGAAGGACGUGCUAAUCUGCGAAAAGCGUCGGUAAGGUGAUAUGAACCGUUAUAACCGGCGAUGUCCGAAUGGGGAAACCCAGUGCAAUUCGUUGCACUAUCGUUAACUGAAUACAUAGGUUAACGAGGCGAACCGGGGGAACUGAAACAUCUAAGUACCCCGAGGAAAAGAAAUCAACCGAGAUUCCCCCAGUAGCGGCGAGCGAACGGGGAGCAGCCCAGAGUCUGAAUCAGCUUGUGUGUUAGUGGAACGGUCUGGAAAGUCCGACGGUACAGGGUGAUAGUCCCGUACACCAAAAUGCACAGGCUGUGAACUCGAAGAGUAGGGCGGGACACGUGGUAUCCUGUCUGAAUAUGGGGGGACCAUCCUCCAAGGCUAAAUACUCCUGACUGACCGAUAGUGAACCAGUACCGUGAGGGAAAGGCGAAAAGAACCCCGGCGAGGGGAGUGAAAAAGAACCUGAAACCGUGUACGUACAAGCAGUGGGAGCACCUUCGGGUGUGACUGCGUACCUUUUGUAUAAUGGGUCAGCGACUUAUAUUCUGUAGCAAGGUUAACCGUAUAGGGGAGCCGCAGGGAAACCGAGUCUUAACUGGGCGUUAAGUUGCAGGGUAUAGACCCGAAACCCGGUGAUCUAGCCAUGGGCAGGUUGAAGGUUGGGUAACACUAACUGGAGGACCGAACCGACUAAUGUUGAAAAAUUAGCGGAUGACUUGUGGCUGGGGGUGAAAGGCCAAUCAAACCGGGAGAUAGCUGGUUCUCCCCGAAAGCUAUUUAGGUAGCGCCUCGUGAACUCAUCUUCGGGGGUAGAGCACUGUUUCGGCUAGGGGGUCAUCCCGACUUACCAACCCGAUGCAAACUACGAAUACCGAAGAAUGUUAUCACGGGAGACACACGGCGGGUGCUAACGUCCGUCGUGAAGAGGGAAACAACCCAGACCGCCAGCUAAGGUCCCAAAGUCAUGGUUAAGUGGGAAACGAUGUGGGAAGGCACAGACAGCCAGGAUGUUGGCUUAGAAGCAGCCAUCAUUUAAAGAAAGCGUAAUAGCUCACUGGUCGAGUCGGCCUGCGCGGAAGAUGUAACGGGGCUAAACCAUGCACCGAAGCUGCGGCAGCGACACUAUGUGUUGUUGGGUAGGGGAGCGUUCUGUAAGCCUGCGAAGGUGUGCUGUGAGGCAUGCUGGAGGUAUCAGAAGUGCGAAUGCUGACAUAAGUAACGAUAAAGCGGGUGAAAAGCCCGCUCGCCGGAAGACCAAGGGUUCCUGUCCAACGUUAAUCGGGGCAGGGUGAGUCGACCCCUAAGGCGAGGCCGAAAGGCGUAGUCGAUGGGAAACAGGUUAAUAUUCCUGUACUUGGUGUUACUGCGAAGGGGGGACGGAGAAGGCUAUGUUAGCCGGGCGACGGUUGUCCCGGUUUAAGCAUGUAGGCUGAUUGUCCAGGCAAAUCCGGAUAAUCAAGGCUGAGGUGUGAUGACGAGGCACUACGGUGCUGAAGUAACAAAUGCCCUGCUUCCAGGAAAAGCCUCUAAGCAUCAGGUAACAUCAAAUCGUACCCCAAACCGACACAGGUGGUCAGGUAGAGAAUACCAAGGCGCUUGAGAGAACUCGGGUGAAGGAACUAGGCAAAAUGGUGCCGUAACUUCGGGAGAAGGCACGCUGGUGUGUAGGUGAAGCCCCUGCGGGUGGAGCUGAGACCAGUCGAAGAUACCAGCUGGCUGCAACUGUUUAUUAAAAACACAGCACUGUGCAAACACGAAAGUGGACGUAUACGGUGUGACGCCUGCCCGGUGCCGGAAGGUUAAUUGAUGGGGUUAUCCGUAAGGAGAAGCUCUUGAUCGAAGCCCCGGUAAACGGCGGCCGUAACUAUAACGGUCCUAAGGUAGCGAAAUUCCUUGUCGGGUAAGUUCCGACCUGCACGAAUGGCGUAAUGAUGGCCAGGCUGUCUCCACCCGAGACUCAGUGAAAUUGAACUCGCUGUGAAGAUGCAGUGUACCCGCGGCAAGACGGAAAGACCCCGUGAACCUUUACUAUAGCUUGACACUGAACAUUGAGCCUUGAUGUGUAGGAUAGGUGGGAGGCUUUGAAGCGUGGACGCCAGUCUGCGUGGAGCCAACCUUGAAAUACCACCCUUUAAUGUUUGAUGUUCUAACGUUGGCCCCUUACCGGGGUUGCGGACAGUGUCUGGUGGGUAGUUUGACUGGGGCGGUCUCCUCCCAAAGCGUAACGGAGGAGCACGAAGGUUAGCUAAUCCUGGUCGGACAUCAGGAGGUUAGUGCAAUGGCAUAAGCUAGCUUGACUGCGAGCGUGACGGCGCGAGCAGGUGCGAAAGCAGGUCAUAGUGAUCCGGUGGUUCUGAAUGGAAGGGCCAUCGCUCAACGGAUAAAAGGUACUCCGGGGAUAACAGGCUGAUACCGCCCAAGAGUUCAUAUCGACGGCGGUGUUUGGCACCUCGAUGUCGGCUCAUCACAUCCUGGGGCUGAAGUAGGUCCCAAGGGUAUGGCUGUUCGCCAUUUAAAGUGGUACGCGAGCUGGGUUUAGAACGUCGUGAGACAGUUCGGUCCCUAUCUGCCGUGGGCGCUGGAGAAUUGAGGGGGGCUGCUCCUAGUACGAGAGGACCGGAGUGGACGCAUCACUGGUGUUCGGGUUGUCAUGCCAAUGGCACUGCCCGGUAGCUAAAUGCGGAAGAGAUAAGUGCUGAAAGCAUCUAAGCACGAAACUUGCCCCGAGAUGAGUUCUCCCUGAGACUUUAAGUCUCCUGAAGGAACGUUGAAGACGACGACGUUGAUAGGCCGGGUGUGUAAGCGCAGCGAUGCGUUGAGCUAACCGGUACUAAUGAACCGUGAGGCUUAACCUU